UACGGGGGGGGCAAGCGUUGUUCGGAAUUACUGGGCGUAAAGGGCUCGUAGGCGGCCAACUAAGUCAGACGUGAAAUCCCUCGGCUUAACCGGGGAACUGCGUCUGAUACUGGUUGGCUUGAGUGUGGGAGAGGGAUGCGGAAUUCCAGGUGUAGCGGUGAAAUGCGUAGAUAUCUGGAGGAACACCGGUGGCGAAGGCGGCAUCCUGGACCAUUACUGACGCUGAGGAGCGAAAGCCAGGGGAGCAACGGG
rnacentral:rRNA from 1 species